GAGUUUGAUCAUGGUUCAGGACGAACGCUGGCGGCGUGCCUAACACAUGCAAGUCGAACGGACAUAAGUUUUUCGGAAUUUAUGUUAGUGGCGGACGGGUGAGUAACGCGUGAGCAACCUGCCUAUCAGAGGGGGAUAACGUAUGGAAACGUAUGCUAAUACCGCAUAAGACAGUACUACCGCAUGGUAGAGUUGUCAAAGGAGCAAUCCGCUGAGAGAUGGGCUCGCGUCCGAUUAGAUAGUUGGUGGGGUAAAGGCCUACCAAGUCGACGAUCGGUAGCCGGACUGAGAGGUUGAACGGCCACAUUGGGACUGAGACACGGCCCAGACUCCUACGGGAGGCAGCAGUGGGGGAUAUUGCACAAUGGGCGAAAGCCUGAUGCAGCAACGCCGCGUGAGGGAAGACGGUUUUCGGAUUGUAAACCUUUGUCUUCGGUGAAGAAAGAAAUGACGGUAGCCGGGAGGAAGCCACGGCUAACUACGUGCCAGCAGCCGCGGUAAUACGUAGGUGGCGAGCGUUGUCCGGAAUUACUGGGUGUAAAGGGAGCGCAGGCGGGGGGACAAGUCAGCUGUGAAAACUACCGGCUUAACCGAUAGAUUGCAGUUGAAACUGUUUUUCUUGAGUGGAGUAGAGGCAGGCGGAAUUCCGAGUGUAGCGGUG
rnacentral:rRNA from 1 species